GACGAACGCUGGCGGCGUGCUUAACACAUGCAAGUCGAGCGGAAAGGCCCCUUUGGGGGUACUCGAGCGGCGAACGGGUGAGUAACACGUGAGUAAUCUGCCCUCCACUCUGGGAUAACGUUCAGAUAUGGGCGCUAACACCGGAUGUACACAGGCUGACGCAUCUUGGUGUGUGGAAAGGUCUUCUGGUGGGGGUUGUGCUCGCGGCCUAUCAGCUUGUUGGUGGGGUAAUGGCCUAUCAAGGCUUUGACGGGUAACCGGCCUGAGAGGGUGACCGGCCACACUGGGGCUGAGACACGACCCAGGCUCCGACGGAAGGCAGCAGUGGGUAAUGUAGGACGAUGGGGGGAAGCCUGGUCCAGGAGCGCCGCGUGGGUGAUGCCAGGCUUCGGGUGGUAAGCCUCUUUCACGGUUGUCGAAGCUGCAUCUUUGUGGGUGUAAUGACGGUAGGUGGGGAAGAAGCACCGGCCAACUACGUG
rnacentral:rRNA from 1 species